AUGAAUUACAUGUCCUUUACAGACUUGACCACCAGUGUAUUACUGAUGUGUAUCGAGCACCAUGAUAACAGCGAGAAAGCUCUGAAGUUCCUUAAGAGAUGGUACAGGAGUCCACUAGAGCUGACCAACAUCAAGCCCCUUCAACGACUCUGGGUACGAGGCCUUGGUCAGCGCGCCGGAGGGACACUUCCUAACCCUUCUCAUCAUGCUCCACCUGCAUGUCAGAAGUACCUAAGAGGGUGCGUGGUUGGCACGCUCGACGGCAACGCCCAUGCUACCAAGGAAGCAAUGAGGAUAGAUUCUUCCUUGCCGCAUUGA
rnacentral:rRNA from 1 species